rnacentral:rRNA from 1 species
GCGGCCUACGGGACGCAGCAGUGGGGGAUAUUGCACAAUGGAGGAAACUCUGAUGCAGCGACGCCGCGUGAGGGAAGACGGUCUUCGGAUUGUAAACCUCUGUCUUUGGGGAAGAAAAUGACGGUACCCAAAGAGGAAGCUCCGGCUAACUACGUGCCAGCAGCCGCGGUAAUACGUAGGGAGCGAGCGUUGUCCGGAAUUACUGGGUGUAAAGGGAGCAUAGGCGGCCUGGCAAGCCUGUUGUGAAAUACCGGGGCCCAACCCC